CAGCACAGUCCAGGCUGAGAGUUUUUAGCUGUCUAUGAAUCACUGCGCUGGGGACACAAUGGGUCCCGUGUUCCUGCUGCUCAUUGUUGGGGUGUCAGGCGUCUAUUCUGGUGAGUAUAGUAGGGAAGAGAAUCUAUGACUGUAUCUUAUGUGGACAGAGGGCGAGCUUGGCAUCGGAAUCCUAUUUUAUUCUACACUGUAUCACUGACCUAUCUGUCUGUCUAAACUCUCUCAUUGACAUCUGUCUCAGGUCUCUCUCUCUCUCUGACAUGUGUCUGUCUGUCUCAGGUCUCUCUCUCUCUCUGACAUGUGUCUGUCUGUCUCAGGUCUCUCUCUCUCUCUGACAUGUGUCUGUCUGUCUCAGGUCUCUCUCUCUGACAUGUGUCUGUCCUGUCUCAGGUCUCUCUCUCUCUGACAUGUGUCUGUCUGUCUCAGGUCACUCUCUCUCUGACAUGUGUCUGUCUGUCUCAGGUCUCUCUCUCUGACAUGUGUCUGUCUGUCUCAGGUCUCUCUCUCUCUGACAUGUGUCUGUCUGUCUCAUGUCUCUCUCUCUCUGACAUGUGUCUGUCUGUCUCAGGUCACUCUCUCUCUGACAUGUGUCUGUCUGUCUCAGGUCCCUCUCUCUCUCUGACAUGUGCCUGUCUGUCUCAGGUCACUCUCUCUCUGACAUGUGUCUGUCUGUCUCAGGUCUCUCUCUGACAUGUCUCAGGUGACAUGUGUCUGUCUCAGGUCACUCUCUCUGACAUGUGUCUGUCUGUCUGUCUCAGGUCACUCUCUCUCUCUGACAUGUGUCUGUGUGUCUCAGGUCACUCUCUCUCUGACGUGUCUGUCUGUCUCAGGUCUCUCUCUCUGACAUGUGUCUGUCUGUCUCAGGUCACUCUCUCUUUCUGACAUGUCUGUCUCAGGUCACUCUCUGACAUGUGUCUGUCUGUCUCAGGUCACUCUCUCUCUCUGACAUGUGUCUGUCUGUCUCAGGUCACUCUCUCUUUCUCUGACAUGUGUCUGUCUGUCUCAGGUCACUCUCUCUCUCUGACAUGUGUCUGUCUGUCUCAGGUCUCUCUCUCUGAUUUGUGUCUGUCUGUCUCAGGUCUCUCUCUCUCUGAUUUGUGUCUGUCUGUCUCAGGUCACUUUCAAUCUCCCUGUAUUAAGAAGAAAGAAGGAAUACCGCACUCUUGCUGGGAUCCUGGUGCUACCAGACCCAGGGCUGGCUAUCCCCACCGUAAUAGUUGAAAAAGUUGUGGUCCAGCUGAACUUGAGAAAUAUAUCUUGGAGAUCGAAACGUUGCACUUUUCCCAAUAAAAUCGGC